GGGGAUCGACUUCACUCCCACCCCUGUGAUUAUACCUUUAAUUGUUGCUUCGGCGGGACUUCGCGCCCGCCGGGGACCCAAACCUUCUGAAUUUUUUAAUAAGUAUCUUCUGAGUGGUUAAAAAAAUGAAUCAAAACUUUCAACAACGGAUCUCUUGGUUCUGGCAUCGAUGAAGAACGCAGCGAAAUGCGAUAAGUAAUGUGAAUUGCAGAAUUCAGUGAAUCAUCGAAUCUUUGAACGCACAUUGCGCCCGUCAGUAUUCUGGCGGGCAUGCCUGUUCGAGCGUCAUUACGCCCCUCAAGUCCCCUGUGGACUUGGUGUUGGGGAUCGGCGAGGCUGGUUUUCCAGCACAGCCGUCCCUUAAAUUAAUUGGCGGUCUCGCCGUGGCCCUCCUCUGCGCAGUAGUAAAACACUCGCAACAGGAGCCCGGCGCGGUCCACUGCCGUAAAACCCCCCAACUUUUUAUAGUUGACCUCGAAUCAGGUAGGACUACCCGCUGAACUUAAGCAUAUCAAAAGCCGGAGGAA
rnacentral:rRNA from 1 species